GCUAAACAGAAUAGCAUCUCCCUUACACCUAGAAGUCAUCCGUGCAAGUCGGAUUG
rnacentral:tRNA from 1 species